rnacentral:rRNA from 1 species
UACGUAGGGGGCAAGCGUUAUCCGGAUUUACUGGGUGUAAAGGGAGCGUAGACGGCUUUGCAAGCCAGAUGUGAAAGCCCGGGGCCCAACCCCGGGACUGCAUUUGGAACUGUGUGGCUAGAGUGUCGGAGAGGCAGGCGGAAUUCCUAGUGUAGCGGUGAAAUGCGUAGAUAUUAGGAGGAACACCGGUGGCGAAAGCGGCCUGCUGGACGACAACUGACGCUGAGGCGCGAAAGCGUGGGGAGCAAACAGG